AUUGAACGCUGGCGGCAGGCCUAACACAUGCAAGUCGGACGGUAGCACAGAGGAGCUUGCUCCUCGGGUGACGAGUGGCGGACGGGUGGGUAAUGUCUGGGGAUCUGCCCGAUAGAGGGGGAUAACCACUGGAAACGGUGGCUAAUACCGCAUAACGUCGCAAGACCAAAGAGGGGGACCUUCGGGCCUCUCACUAUCGGAUGAACCCAGAUGGGAUUAGCUAGUAGGCGGGGUAAUGGCCCACCUAGGCGACGGUCCGUAGCUGGUCUGAGGGAAUGACCAGCCAAACUGGAACUGAUACACGGUCCAGACUCCUACGGGAGGCAGCAGUGGGGAAUAUUGCACAAUGGGCGCAAGCCUGAUGCAGCCAUGCCGCGUGUAUGAAGAAGGCCUUCGGGUUGUAAAGUACUUUCAGCGGGGAGGAAGGCGGUGAGGUUAAUAACCUUGCCGAUUGACGUUACCCGCAGAAGAAGCACCGGCUAACUCCGUGCCAGCCGCCGCAGUAA
rnacentral:rRNA from 1 species